AAAAAAUUUGAAAGAAAUCAGAUUGAAACACUGCAAAACAAUGAGGGACUCUCUGUGCAAAUAAACUAACGAGUCACAAUGCGCGGAUCCUCCCCGGGUCGGGUCACACGCGCGGGUUAUAGCCUUACACGUCGCCGUUUUAGGGCCACUGAGGCAGGCCCUAAACGGUGCUGUUUCAUGCAGCAAAUAAAAACUAAUCCUAAGCUCUAAACCUAAACCCUCAUUAGUCUCUUAACCUAGCCGAAAUGAAGACCCCCUUUUCUCUCCAGCGCCGCAAUCCCGAAAUCCCAUCCACCUCCGAUUUCGGACGGAAUGAACAGGCUCCAUUGGCGCGCUCGCGACGGUAAGCCUUCUCCUGCUCUCUCCUUUCUCUUUUGCGCUUUUUCAGACCCAAAACCUCCAUCCAUCUAUCCCCGAUUCUAAUCUGAGCGGAUAAAGGCCGCGACGGUGCACUCCGGAAGGUGUGUACGGAGGCGCGUGGCGUGGAGGCGUGCGUGGCAGUGUAUGUGAGGCUACUGUUGUGGUGGUGCACGCGCGAGGGAAAGUGAUGGGUCUUGGUUGCUGCGGCGCUGGGAGCUGAAUGCUGCUAGGGUUUUGGUUUCUAUUAGGCUAUGUGUUGGGUUGGGCCAAGUUGGGUUGGGUGUAGUGGGCUAGGCUAGUGUUUGGGCCACUUGGAUUUAGGCCUGCUAUUGUAACAAAACUGGACAUUUAUUUUUUCUAUUUUAUUUUAUUAUUUUAUGUA